rnacentral:lncRNA from 1 species
CUGCUACUGAGCUCAUAGAGCUUAUCAACUGAUCAAACUGAAGAUCUUCACCUCUUUGAAGAGAUCUAGACAAGAGCUUUUCCAAAGGUUCAGCCAUUACAACUUCAAUUUUCUUUUCAGCCUGAACAGCAAAUUCAGCGAAGAGGCUUUUGAUGACAUACUCGCCAGGUUUUACAUCUGGAUCAAUAGUAAUGUUAGACAUGAUGAUGCCUCUCUUUUCCCAAGUGGAAGCAACACUUGGAGAAACUCUGCGUUUAUUUACUCUGCUG